rnacentral:RNase_P_RNA from 1 species
CCAGUCGGUCGGACGACCGCGGAUGAUGCAAAUCAGACGAGGAAAGUCCGGACUUCACGGAAACACGGUGCCGGGUAACGCCCGGGCGGCGAGCCUUUUUGAAAGGCGAUCCGACAGAUAGUGCAACAGAAAGAUACCGCCCUCCAAUAAUCGAGCCUCACGGCGAGACUGGAAGGUAAGGGUGAAAUGGUGCGGUAAGAGCGCACCGCUCGUUCAGAAAUGAACAGGCACGGCAAACCUCACCGGAAGCAAGACCAAAUAGGCCUGCGUUCGUAUGUUUCCAACAUUCUUUUGAGAGUUUGGCGGGCUUGCCCGCCGAAGCUCCGAAGGAGCGUAGGCGGGUUGGUUGCUCGAGGGAAGGGGUAACUCUUCUCCUAGAUGAAUGGUCGUCAUCCGAUGAGAUCUCAAGAUUUCUAGGGUACAGAAUCCGGCUUACAGACCGACUGGCAAA